CGUCGUGUUCUGUUUGGCUCUAUCGGUGGCCCAAGCGAUCCUGCUCAAGGCCCUUGGAGCAGGUGCUCUGGGCUUUGGUGCUGGAGCUCUUCUCGGCAGCGCACUGUCCCAUGGUGGUGGCGGCGGUGGUGGAGGCUACUACCCUUACCCAUACGGCCGUGGUUACGGUGGUGGCUAUGGUGGUGGAUUCGGAUUCCACGGAUAGAAGCGCUGUGUUUAUCAUUUUGCCACGACCUACAGAUGGAGAAGUUUCACAUUCAGGACCAGAAUCAGCAUUCAACGACGUCUACAUUAUGAUCUAGAAAAUGUAUCGCUUACUAUUUAUCAGCCAAUAAAAAAUAUUUAUUUUUCUAAGCGCAA